rnacentral:rRNA from 1 species
UGUAGCAAGGUUAACCGUAUAGGGGAGCCGAAGGGAAACCGAGUCUUAAUUGGGCGUUAAGUUGCAGGGUAUAGACCCGAAACCCGGUGAUCUAGCCAUGGGCAGGUUGAAGGUUGGGUAACACUAACUGGAGGACCGAACCGACUAAUGUUGAAAAAUUAGCGGAUGACCUGUGGCUGGGGGUGAAAGGCCAAUCAAACCGGGAGAUAGCUGGUUCUCCCCGAAAGCUAUUUAGGUAGCGCCUCGUGAACUCAUCUCCGGGGGUAGAGCACUGUUUCGGCUAGGGGGCCAUCCCGGCUUACCAACCCGAUGCAAACUGCGAAUACCGGAGAAUGUUAUCACGGGAGACACACGGCGGGUGCUAACGUCCGUCGUGAAGAGGGAAACAACCCAGACCGCCAGCUAAGGUCCCAAAGUCAUGGUUAAGUGGGAAACGAUGUGGGAAGGCCCAGACAGCCAGGAUGUUGGCUUAGAAGCAGCCAUCAUUUAAAGAAAGCGUAAUAGCUCACUGGUCGAGUCGGCCUGCGCGGAAGAUGUAACGGGGCUAAACCAUGCACCGAAGCUGCGGCAGCGACACUAUGUGUUGUUGGGUAGGGGAGCGUUCUGUAAA